UAGGGAAUAUUGCGCAAUGGGGGAAACCCUGACGCAGCGACGCCGCGUGAGUGAUGAAGGCCUUCGGGUCGUAAAGCUCUGUCGUAUGGGACUAACACAAUGAAGGUACCAUGCAAGAAAGGAUCGGCUAACUUCGUGCCAGCAGCCGCGGUAAGACGAGGGAUCCUAGCGUUGUUCGGAAUUAUUGGGCGUAAAGCGGGUGUAGGCGGUCUUUUAAGUCAGGUGUGAAAUCCCGGGGCUCAACCCCGGAAGUGCAUUUGAUACUGGAAGACUUGAGUGUGGUAGAGGUUACUGGAAUUCUUGGUGUAGUGGUGAAAUACGUAGAUAUCAAGAGGAAUACCGGAGGCGAAGGCGGGUAACUGGGCCAACACUGACGCUGAGAUCCGAAAGCGUGGGGAUC
rnacentral:rRNA from 1 species